rnacentral:rRNA from 1 species
UGGGGAAUAUUGGACAAUGGAGGGAACUCUGAUCCAGCAAUUCUGUGUGUGUGAAGAAGGUUUUAGGACUGUAAAACACUUUUAGUAGGGAAGAAAAAAAUGACGGUACCUACAGAAGAAGCAACGGCUAAAUACGUGCCAGCAGCCGCGGUAAUACGUAUGUUGCGAGCGUUAUCCGGAAUUAUUGGGCUUAAAGGGCAUCUAGGCGGUAAGACAAGUUGAAGGUGAAAACCUGUGGCUCAACCAUAGGCUUGCCUACAAAACUGUUGAACUAGAGUACUGGAAAGGUGGGUGGAACUAAACGAGUAGAGGUGAAAUUCGUAGAUAUGUGUAGGAAUGCCGAUGAUGAAGAUAACUCACUGGACAGAAACUGAAACUGAAGUGCGAAAGCUAGGGGAGCAAACAGG